UACAGAGGGGGCAAGCGUUGUUCGGAAUUACUGGGCGUAAAGCGUGCGCAGGCGGUUUUGUAAGUUUGUCGUGAAAUCCCCGGGCUCAACCUGGGAAUGGCGAUGAAGACUGCAAGGCUAGAAUCUGGCAGAGGGGGGUAGAAUUCCACGUGUGAGCAGUGAAAUGCGUAGAGAUGUGGAGGAACACCGAUGGCGAAGGCAGCCCCCUGGGUCAAGAUUGACGCUCAUGCACGAAAGCGUGGGGAGCAAACGAGG
rnacentral:rRNA from 1 species